GGAGGUAGUGACAAUAAAUCACAAUGCGGGACUAUUCGUCUUGCAAUUGGAUUGAGAACAAUGUACAACUCUUAUCGAUAAGCCAUUGGAGGGCAAGUCUGGUGCCAGCAGCCGCGGUAAUUCCAGCUCCAAUAGCGUAUAUUAACGUUGUUGCAGUUAAAAAGCUCGUAGUUGAAGUGUGGGUGGUGCCUACUUCAUGACUUCGGUUGUGAGGCAUAUCACUACCCCCUUCCAGUAUCCAGUAGUGGGUAUUCAGUUACUUGCUACUGUGUGUUGGUCAUUUACUGUGAGAAAAUUAGAGUGUUCAAAGCAGGCGUUUGCUUGAAUAGAUUAGCAUGGAAUAAUAAUUGAAGGCUUUCGUGUUCGAUUUGAUUGGUUUGUUCAUGGAAGCAAGGUUAAAAGGAACAGUUGGGGGUAUUCAUAUUCACUAGUUAGAGGUGAAAUUCUCGGAUUUAUGGAAGAUGAACAAGUGCGAAAGCA
rnacentral:rRNA from 1 species